GGAAAUCUGGAUUCUCAGCAUGUAAGAAAAGAGCUACUAACAUGUUAAGAAUUUAAAUCAAAGUCCUGAAGCAUGGAAUAUGAAUCAGAGCCAACACUAGGUAUUUAUAUUGUGUUCUAUUUUGUGAAUUGUUUCCUAGCUCAGAUUUCUCAAAAGGCUUAGAAUCAAUCAGCCGACCAGUGGCCACGUGCAUUCUUCACACCCAGGUGCCGCAGUCCGGCUGGGCAAAUAACCGGGAGGUGACAAGCAACUUGAAGGUUGGAAGGGGAACUACUUUAUUGCGAGUGAACUCAGCGGGAACUGAGCGAGAACUCAAAGUAGCGGGCACCCGAGAUAGCAGGAGCCGCUUCUCUGCCGGACAGCAGAGGUAUAUAUACUUAACUAAUUACACACAGCUUAACUUAAUUAACGUCAUCUAGAUACAGUAGUCAGCCAAUAAGGAAUCCUCAUCAUCUUAAUGGCUCACUGGCGUUGCUUCACAAACCACUCCUCCUGGCAAACUGCCAGGCGCCAUCUUGACUUGAUUUGCAUCCCCAACACCCAGGUAGUCGAUUCCAAAUACCAUUUCUUACUGAAAGGAAGCACAGCUCCUUGGAAAUGUUCAGGACAAGCCUUGAGCAUAUUUCACGUGAGAAGAUCCCACUUGCAGCGGCUGCACUGGCCAAAGACCUAGCAACUUGAGCAACAGUUGAAGGAAGGGAGGGGAAGGAGACGUUCAACAUGUUUAAAUCUGUGAGUUUACAAUGACACAGAACAGAAACCUCGAUAGGCCACAUGUUGGUAGAUGCCAGGGAAUCAAUCCAUUUCUUGGGCAUGAUAAAGGAAAAGAACCAAGCAUUUAUUUUUGCUUUUUCUCUAUGAUUAUAUCAAUGAGUUACUAAAUAGCAGCUGAUGAGAGGGAGUUUCUCUGUUAGAAAUAAUCCCAGCUAAUUCAUGCAGAAUAAAUGGCAAAUAGAAUAUUAUCAUUUUUCAAACUGCAACACAUCCAGCCACUGCUAUUCCAUAAACAAGGCCACCAGACGUGAUGUGCCAUUGGUAGCAGAAUACAGUACCACCCAUGAAGUCAUCUUGCUACAACCAUGAAGUUCGAAUUCAACCAAGCUUUACAAGCAUGAAGUUCGAAUUCAACCAAGCUUUCAGAUCCAACGACAGUUUACAGAAAAUGCAGAGGGCAGAGAAAAAGAUUAAUGAACACUGUGGGAAGGUGGCCAUUGAAAUCUAUGCCAGAUGAACCUUGGCAGGGUACAUGAUCUGGUGCCUUCAACAACCACUGGCCAAGUGGGAGAUGGAGAGGAAGCCCAUGACUGAGAGAUAUAUCAACCUCUUGACAUGCAGGGACAUUGGUUAUAUCCUGUUGGAAACAAGGGAUUAUAUUUAUUUAUUUAUUGGUGUUGGGAAUGGAAUACGGUAUCUUGCGUAUGCUAAGUGUGUGUCCUAUCACUAAGCCCAUAACUGAUUACAUGUGUGUUUGUGUGUGUCUAUGUCUGUAAAAAUAUAUACAUACAAUGUAUGUACCAAAUUUGAAAUAUCUCUA
rnacentral:lncRNA from 1 species